GACGAACGCUGGCGGCGUGCUUAACACAUGCAAGUCGAGCGGUAAGGCCCUUUCGGGGGUACACGAGCGGCGAACGGGUGAGUAACACGUGGGAACCUACCUUCUGGUACGGAACAACCAAGGGAAACUUUGGCUAAGACCGUAUACGACCUCCGGGUGAAAGAUUGAUCGCCGGAAGAGGGGCCCGCGUCCGAUUAGGUAGUUGGUGAGGUAACGGCUCACCAAGCCUUCGAUCGGUAGCUGGUCUGAGAGGAUGACCAGCCACACUGGGACUGAGACACGGCCCAGACUCCUACGGGAGGCAGCAGUGGGGAAUAUUGGACAAUGGGCGCAAGCCUGAUCCAGCCAUGCCGCGUGAGUGAUGAAGGCCUUC
rnacentral:rRNA from 1 species